rnacentral:rRNA from 1 species
CACGUAGGCACCAAGCGUUGUCCGGAUUUAUUGGGCGUAAAGAGCUCGUAGGCGGUUCGGUAAGUCGGGUGUGAAAACUCUGGGCUCAACCCAGAGCCGCCACCCGAUACUGCUGUGACUCGAGUGCGGUAGGGGAGCGGGGAAUUCCUGGUGUAGCGGUGAAAUGCGCAGAUAUCAGGAGGAACACCGAUGGCGAAGGCAGGUCUCUGGGCCACUACUGACGCUGAGAAGCGAAAGCAUGGGGAGCGAACAGG